rnacentral:rRNA from 1 species
GACAGAGGGGGCAAGCGUUGUCCGGACUGACUGGGCGUAAAGCGCGCGCAGGCGGUCUCGGGCGUCGGUGCUGAAAGUCCACCGCUUAACGGUGGGAAGCGUGCCGAUACGCCGAGACUGGAGGGUGGGCGAGGGUGGUGGAAUUGCCGGUGUAGUGGUGAAAUGCGUAGAGAUCGGCAGGAACACCCGUGGCGUAAGCGGCCACCUAGCCCGCACCUGACGCUGAGGCGCGACAGCGUGGGGAGCAAACAGG